ensembl:lncRNA
AUGCAACUGGAAAAGUCUGUUUUAAUCUGCAUUACUGCCAACCCCAGGAGGUGUGUGGACCUUCAUCAUCCUACCUUUGAACUUCCCCUUCAGGGACAGUCUCCUGACACGACCUUCAUAGAUCCGGCAAUGCCCAGCUGUGGGGCCUAUAAAUACCAGGUGACAUUUAUUUAUUUAUUUAUUUAUUUUUCCAGGUGACAUUUAAAAGGCUGAUUUUUAUUAGUAGGUUCUACUCACCAGAACAUUGAGUUGCCCAUGCUCAGAAAAGCAUAAUCUCAUUUUUAACUUCCUUCUUUUAGUUAAUACCUAAUGAUUUGGGGAGUCAGAGGC